CAAUACCACCCACAGUUCAUCUGGUCCUCACACAGGCCCUGCCCCACAGAGGCAGACACCCUUGGCUGCCAGUAGAGGAUCAAGGCACUCAGUCAAUGCAGGCUGAAAAGUAGACUGAGGGCUUGCUGUUAGGUGGGGCCAGUCCCUAGGGCGGGUUGCCUGCCCUGGCUGAACUGGAUUAAAUCUGUGCUCUAGUGGGUGUGGCAGACCCCUGGGCUAACAGCCCAAGGAAUGCACUUCAAUGGCUCCCACCGGUGUCCGCAUCAGCACGCCUGGACCAGCUCAGAACAAUGGCCCCCACCAACGUCUCAGACUCCGGAGAGGACCCUCCUCUCACCAAAUGCCCCCAGAGCCCACCAGAUAUCCCUGAGGGAAGAGACUGUGUAAUUCAUCUUUGCAUCUCCCAUAACAUCUAACACAAAGCACAGUACAUUGGAGCUGGAGACAUAGAAUAUAUUGAAUCUGAAAAUUGAAAUAAAAGAAAAUUUUAUAAAAAUUGAGGUGAUUAUUUUGGCUAUCCAGAGAACACAAGUGGUAUUUAUCCUGAACCAUAGCGGAGAAGUAGGAUGGAAUUCAGGAAAAUGGGAAGAGAGCCCUGGAUUGAGAAGAGGCUAGGGGCUGAGGCAGAGUUAAAAAGAACAGAGGACACUUCUACGCCAAACUCAAGAUUCUGAGGCACAGGAAGCUGAAACUCUCUACCUCUCACUAUCCACCUGAUGCAGUUUGUCACCUUUAUCAAUCCUGACAGCUCUAGUAAAGCAGUGAAACAGGAUGUUAACGUCAAGGUCUCCGCCAAGAUACCAUGAUACAAUAGAAGCUGCAUGCCCAAGUGAGGUGCCAGAGCAGCACACACAGUCUCCUCACCCAUGGACUCUUCACCCAGGGUUCCUGACACCACUUGAAGGUUCCAGAACAGUAUUGGGCCUGCCUGGGUCAAAGAUUUCAUCCAGGCACAAGGACAAAAUUUACCUUGCUGUUUAUUCAGCAGUGAGAGACACAAAUAAGAUUAUGUUUUUCUUAUAACCUACAAGUCAUUUUUGUCUUAAGAUUCCCUUUAUGUAGUCGGGUAGUUUGGGUUGAAUUUAAGAGGGUUGUCUUGAAAGCGUAUUGGACCACUCGCAAAGAUGACAAACAGGAGAUGAAGGAUGAGAUUGUGAUGUCACGGUCUCAGGCACAGGAAAGGGCUCCACGUCUUAGUGAAGUCAGGGAACCAGGUCACGCUGCCAUCCUCACACUGCAGGCUGUAGAGACCUGGGAAGGAAGCCCAUAGCUCUUGCCUCUUAGUCCACUGAGCUAAAGCUAAUCAGAAGUUUGAUUUUAAAAAAUGUUCUGGUAGCUAACACUUUUUAUAUUUGUGACCUGGUUUUUCUACUUAGAAUGGAAAUCUUACUGGUUUAAAAUGAACAUACCCUUCAACUCACAAGAUAAAUUAGCCUUAGAAAGAUAUGUUGCCUAAAAUGGAGAAAUGCUAAAAAUGUUUACAUUUUAUGCUUGUGUAAUCUAUUAGGUGCAUUGUACAGAAUGGUAAUUUUCUUUCUCUUCGCACAGAAAAACAAAACAUCUUGAAGACAAAGCAAUGAUAAACAGUUAUUUGACAAGACAAUAUUGAAAAAAAUAAAUAACUGUGUCAAUUAUUUCAGAUGUUUUCUGGACAAACUCAACUGUUGCUUUCAGUGGUUCCAAGUUACUACUUGAAAUAUUUAUAUAUUUAUCAGCUUGGAUUUAGAGUUAAAUCUAAGUUGAUAAAUUUCCUUUUAAGCUUCUAUUUUCAUACAGAUAUAUGAAAAAUGCAAAUGUUCAAACACAGAAGUGUUACUUAAGGAAAGUGGACUUUUCCUGUACAUUUAAGGUAUCAGCAAGAUGAUUAAAUAUAACUGAUCAGAUUUUCCCAUUUUCAGAGGAAAUAUGACUAUUCAAGUCCUUACUUUCUCUAUCAAUAUAAAAUACAAUAACUACUGCACAUGUUGUAACUUAUUUUGAAGACAAUAUACCAUUUUGAAGGGAAAGACUAUUUUGCUUAAGUUUCUUGGCUUGGCAGCAAUAUUGACCAUCCCC
ensembl:lncRNA